GAUGAAGAACGUAGUGAAAUGCGAUACUUGGUGUGAAUUGCAGAAUCCCGUGAACCAUCGAGUCUUUGAACGCAAGUUGCGCCCGAAGCCACUAGGCCGAGGGCACGCCUGCCUGGGCGUCACACGCCGUUGCCCCCCCAUCUACUCCUUCGGGAUUGCGGGGGGGCGGAUGAUGGCCUCCCGUGCGCCUAGCCGCGCGGUUGGCAUAAAUACCAAGUCCUCGGCGACGCACGCCACGACAAUCGGUGGUUGCGAAACCUCGGUUGCCCGUCGUGUGCGUUCGUCGCGCAUCGAGGGCUCGAAAAAAUGCUCGGCUCCGGCUGGGCUUUCAACGCGACCCCAGGUCAGGCGGGGUUACCCGCUGAGUUUAAGCAUAUCAAUAAGCGGAGGA
rnacentral:misc_RNA from 1 species